rnacentral:rRNA from 1 species
GAUGAACGCUGGCGGCGUGCCUAAUACAUGCAAGUCGAGCGAACAGAUAAGGAGCUUGCUCCUUUGACGUUAGCGGCGGACGGGUGAGUAACACGUGUGUAACCUACCUAUAAGACUGGAAUAACUCCGGGAAACCGGGGCUAAUGCCGGAUAACAUUUAGAACCGCAUGGUUCUAAAGUGAAAGAUGGUUUUGCUAUCACUUAUAGACGGACCCGCGCCGUAUUAGCUAGUUGGUAAGGUAACGGCUUACCAAGGCAACGAUACGUAGCCGACCUGAGAGGGUGAUCGGCCAGACUGGAACUGAGACACGGUCCAGACUCCUACGGGAGGCAGCAGUAGGGAAUCUUCCGCAAUGGGCGAAAGCCUGACGGAGCAACGCCGCGUGAGUGAUGAAGGUCUUCGGAUCGUAAAACUCUGUUAUUAGGGAAGAACACAUGUGUAAGUAACUGUGCACGUCUUGACGGUACCUAAUCAGAAAGCCACGGCUAACUACGUG